rnacentral:tRNA from 1 species
GCUUAUUCGGUGAAAUUGGUAGACACGCUAGGCUUAAAACUUAGUCCAAUUGGGUGCCAGUUCGAUCCUGGCAGUAAGCA